rnacentral:rRNA from 1 species
UACGAAGGGGGCGAGCGUUGUUCGGAUUUACUGGGCGUAAAGGGCGCGCAGGCGGCCGGCCAAGUCAGGCGUGAAAGCCCCGGGCUUAACCUGGGAAUUGCGUCUGGGACUGGUUGGCUAGAGAUCGGGAGAGGAGAGUGGAAUUCCCAGUGUAGAGGUGAAAUGCGUAGAUAUCUGGAGGAACACCGGUGGCGAAGGCGGCAUCCUGGACCGACACUGACGCUGAGGAGCGAAAGCCAGGGGAGCAAACGGG